CAGUCGCCACGGGAAUACAGAGGGUGCGAGCGUUAAUCGGAUUUACUGGGCGUAAAGCGUGCGUAGGCGGCUUCUUAAGUCGGAUGUGAAAUCCCUGAGCUUAACUUAGGAAUUGCAUUCGAUACUGGGAAGCUAGAGUAUGGGAGAGGAUGGUAGAAUUCCAGGUGUAGCGGUGAAAUGCGUAGAGAUCUGGAGGAAUACCGAUGGCGAAGGCAGCCAUCUGGCCUAAUACUGACGCUGAGGUACGAAAGCGUGGGGAGCAAACAGGAUUAGAUACCCCCGUAGUCCCUGUCUCUUAUAC
rnacentral:rRNA from 1 species